rnacentral:rRNA from 1 species
GACAGAGGAUGCAAGCGUUAUCCGGAAUGAUUGGGCGUAAAGCGUCUGUAGGUGGCUUUUUAAGUCUGCCGUCAAAUCCCAGGGCUUAACCCUGGACAGGCAGUGGAAACUACACGGCUAGAGUGCGUUCGGGGCAGAGGGAAUUCCUGGUGUAGCGGUGAAAUGCGUAGAGAUCAGGAAGAACACCGGUGGCGAAGGCGCUCUGCUAGGCCGCAACUGACACUGAGGGACGAAAGCUAGGGGAGCGAAUGGG